UCAUCCCUCUCCCAAGAACUUGACAACAUUUGAGAUCGAUGGUUAAGGAAAUUAAAACCGAAACCAAAGUUGGUAUUGGGAUAGAACCCUUUUGGAAUGCUUUGUCCAAAAGAGUUCAGAUUUGUGGUUCCAAAAGUCGGAACUCAUCGAAGGAGAUGGUACCAGCAUCGGUACAGUGACUACAGUCUUGCUCUUCAAUUUUGCCUCUGAUAAACUACCAGAAGGAAAAGAUUGUGGAGCUUGAUGAAUCCGUGCAAGGAAUUGGGCUGCAAGUGAUAGAAGGAGGCCACUUGAACAUUGGGUUUUCUUCCUACAAAGCAAGUUUCCAACUUGCUGCAAUUCAGGAGCAGGAGUCCCUACUGAUACCUUCAUUAAUAUAUCUGCACGGUACGUCAUUUACACAAGGCAUGCCAAGUACUGUAAGUCCUUUGAGAAAGAAAAUGGCAUCUAGCACACCUGUGUCUCCUUGUGCAUGGAAAAGAUGCUCUCUUGCCAGUUGCCACUGCUAUACUAUUUGUAUAAAUUAUGGCUUCUGUUAUAUCAGUCCUCAUCCCUCUCCCAAGAACUAACCACACUUGAGAGCCAUGGACCAUGGUUAAGGAAAUCAAAACAGAAACCAAAGUUGGUGUUGGGAUUGAAGCCUUGUGGAAGGCUUUGUCAAAAGAUUUGAGAUUUCUGGCUCCAAAAAUUGCCCCCAAUUAGAUCAAGAAUGUGGAACUCAUAGAAGGAGAUGGUACCGGCAACGGUACAGUCUUGCUCUUCAGCUUUGGCACUGAUGCAUCAAAGAUAAUUUACCAGAAGGAGAAGAUUAAUGUGGAGCUUGAUGAGUCUGUGCAUAAAAUUGGGCUGCAAGUAAUAGAAGGAGGCCACUUGAACCAUGGGUUUUCUUCAUACAAAAGAAGUUUCCAACUUACUGCAAUUCAAGAGCAGGAGAUCCUGGUUAGUUUCACAGUGACCUAUGAGUCUGAAGUUGAAGAUACUACCAUGCCAUCAAGGUCAACCCAAGCUGCUGUAGCUUUCAUCAGGAGCCUAGAGUCCUAUUUGUUAAGGGCUGCUGCCUAGAAGCAAAUUGUUGGCUGUUGCAAUGUAAUAUGAUAAUCUUUGACAUGAAUGAGCAAUUUUGGUCUAGUUUGUUGAGCUAGAACAAAGGCCACU